rnacentral:rRNA from 1 species
AAUCUGCUUCGUAGGUGACCUGCGGAAGGA